rnacentral:rRNA from 1 species
CGCUGGCGGCGUGCCUAACACAUGCAAGUCGAACGAAGCACUUCUGGUUGGAGAUUCGUCGAAGACCGGAUUGACUAGUGGCGGACGGGUGAGUAAUGUAUGAGCAACCUGCCUUCAGAGGGGGACAACAGUUGGAACGACUGCUAAUACCGCAUAAUGUAUUGAGGAGGCAUCUCCAUGAUACCAAAGGAGCAAUCCGCUGAAAGAUGGGCUCAUAUCUGAUUAGUUAGUUGGCAGGGUAACGGCCUACCAAGACUGCGAUCAGUAGCCGGACUGAGAGGUUGAACGGCCACAUUGGGACUGAGAUACGGCCCAGACUCCUACGGGAGGCAGCAGUGGGGAAUAUUGGGCAAUGGGCGAAAGCCUCGACCCAGCAACGCCGCGUGAAGGAAGAAGGUCUUCGGAUUGUAAACUUCUUUUAUGAGGGACGAAGGACGUGACGGUACCUCAUGAAUAAGCCACGGCUAACUACGUGCCAGCCGCGGC